AUCAAAGUCUCCGCGCUAGUAUUUUAACGUUAAAGUCUGCAUGACCGAGAGGCAGGCUGAUGGGGCCAAAGAAGCCUGGGGAAGAUCAUUAUACCAAGAUUUUUAUGGGAAAUUCCCAGGAGGCAGCAGCUUUGGCGUUUCUCCGAGGUCCUUAUAAAUGAAGGUAACUGGGAACUCAAGUGCUCCAGAGUCAAUGUUUUCUGCCCAACAGGUAAUGUCUGCCUUGUACAAAUGCUGUUUCCAAGAAACCCAUAUAUUACACAUCCCUGAGGGGCUGUACAGAACUGGACACACACUGAAACAAGCAACAAGCUGCCUCGAGGCCUCUCUGGAACUGAGAGUCACCUAAAUAAAUAAAUAAACAGGAAACGUGCCAGAAGAAAGUUAGGAUGGGGACUCAAAGACAGCUCUUUGAGUACAGAAGUAACUGAAAAAAAUGCUGGCAACUGUGUAAGGAUCUGCAGAGAAAGCAAACCCAAGAGGAUUUUGGAACAAUAGUCAUCUUGCCUUUUUUUCUUUUUUGUACCUUCUAGAACAAGUGCUUAGUAAAUAUUUUUUGAUGCUUUAAAACUAGACAAGGUGAUCUCAACUCUAGGAAGACUGAUUUCCUCUGGUUCCUCUUUUAAGCAGAAUCAUUAGGAGCACUUACAGACUUUCUUACUAAUGAAGUGCCCCCAGAACACUGAAGAGGACAUAGAGGGAAUAAAAUGAAUCCAGAAACAUCAUUUGCAGAAGUGUCUUGGCAAUUAGUGCCAAAGUCUGGCUGACCUUUUGACUCUAUGUUUGUAUUUUGAAAAGAAGAAGAAGAAAAAAAGCAACCACCAUAUUUACUUAAGCGUUAACGUGGCCCAAAGUUAAGUGAAUACCUGUGCUAACCACCAGACCUUUUCAUGGCCACACUUGAUCUUCUCAUAUCCAAUUUCACUGUUACUACUUGAGACAACAGACUGCGUGUGUGAGAAGAGGGGGAACUUUUCCAGUUCUUUCUCAGAAGGAAGACUGGGAAGAACAAAGGAGACAUGAGAAGUUAGAGGAAAGGAGGUGAAAAAGGCAGCAGUCAGGGAAAGCCUGAGCCACCCCCACGCAUUGCACCCAUCUUGUCCAUGCAUCCCUGACCUGUGCAACCGUACAGGCUUCUUCUACACCUUGUCACACCAGAGGCUUGGACCAAAACACACUGUUCUUUUAAACCCAGACUAGCUGGAUAAACAGUGCUAGGCAGGCCCCAACUCGCCCUUGCUUCAACCUUGGCAGUCAAAACCCACCGUGCAGGGCUCCCCUCUGCCCCCAGGAUAAGGCCCCAGCCACUCCACCUCACCUUCCAGACCUGCCUUGAUCUCCACGGAUUCCACCUUUUUGAACACAUUUCCCUCCUUGCCCAAUGCUUCUAGGUUUCUGUCAAAUUACAUCCCAGUCUCCCUACCAGUGUCCCCAGUGGCUGCGUCUUUCCUGUCACCCAGAAUGUCCUUCCUCCCCCCGCCCCAGCUCAAGUCCUCCUCCUGCUCACCCUUCCAGGCCCAUUUGCAAUACUGUGCACCCUUCCAGGGGCAUCCUGGGUGUCCCACCCCUCCAGCCACCGAAGCAGUGACGGUCUACCCCUCCUGUGAACCUUGGCGUUGUCUCCCUGUCUGGUGGCCCUGGCAUGCCAGACUCUGUAUUGUGUGAGUUCUUAUGGAUAAAAUGAAAGUUCCUGUGGCCAGGAUUCUCACCUGGCCAUGGUUGACUAGCUCACUGCACACCUGUGGGCAACACAUGGCUGUUGACUCUAUAAAAAGAGCUCUGCCCAGUGCUCUGG